UACGGAGGGGGCUAGCGUUGUUCGGAAUUACUGGGCGUAAAGCGCACGUAGGCGGCUUUGUAAGUUAGAGGUGAAAGCCCAGGGCUCAACCCUGGAAUUGCCUUUAAGACUGCAUCGCUUGAACAUCGGAGAGGUAAGUGGAAUUCCGAGUGUAGAAGUGAAAUUCGUAGAUAUUCGGAAGAACACCAGUGGCGAAGGCGACUUACUGGACGAUUGUUGACGCUGAGGUGCGAAAGCGUGGGGAGCAAACAGG
rnacentral:rRNA from 1 species